rnacentral:tRNA from 1 species
GUGGCUCAAAAGAGUAGGGCACCGGCCUCAUAUGCCGGAGGUUGUGGGUUCAAACCCAGCC